GUCUUUCUGAAUAAAUAGAAAGUCGGGCCUGCCCAAUGAUUAUUUUAAUGGCCGCGGUAUUUUGACCGUGCAAAGGUAGCAUAAUCAAUAGUUUAUUAAUUGUAAACUAGAAUGAAGGGUUUGACGAAAAUCCUACUGUCUCUUAAUGAUUAAUUGAAUUUUAUUUUUAAGUUAAAAAGCUUAAAUUGACUUAAAAGACGAGAAGACCCUAUAGAGUUUUAUAUUAAUUGUGAUUAAUUAUUAGGUUCGUUAUAGUUAAUAUUUUGUUGGGGUGACAGGAAAAUUUAAUUAACUUUUUCUUAAUUUUAAUAUUGAUAUUUAAAUUUAUGAUCUUGAUUUAUGAUUAUAAGAGUAAAUUACCUUAGGGAUAACAGCGUUAUUUAUUUUGAGAGUUCUAAUCGAAAAAUAAGUUUGCGACCUCGAUGUUGGAUUAAAAUUAGGAGAGAGUGAAGAAGCUUUUUUUUUAGGUCUGUUCGACCUUUUAAUUUUU
rnacentral:rRNA from 1 species